rfam:Danio rerio chromosome 4, GRCz11 reference primary assembly.
GCCUGGCUAGCUCAGUCGGUAGAGCAUGAGACUCUUAAUGUCAGGGUUGUGGGUUCGAGCCCCACGUUGGGCG